UACCUGGUUGAUCCUGCCAGUAGUCAUAUGCUUGUCUCAAAGAUUAAGCCAUGCAAGUCUAAGUACGAGCUCUCGUACAGUGAAACUGCGAAUGGCUCAUUUGGAAUUCAGUUAUGGUUCAUUUGAUCGUACAGUUUACUUGGAUAACUGGGG
rnacentral:ncRNA from 1 species